rnacentral:pre_miRNA from 1 species
GUAGUCGUCUAUAUGUACCCUGUAGAACCGAAUUUGUGUCCAAAACAUCAAAAUCGCAAAUACGUCUCUACAGGAAUACAUGGGCGACGUAA